rnacentral:rRNA from 1 species
GAUGAACGCUAGCGGCAGGCUUAAUACAUGCAAGUCGUGGGGCAGCAUGAGUAGCAAUACUUGAUGGCGACCGGCAAACGGGUGAGGAACACGUACACAACCUUCCUUCAAGCGGGGAAUAGCCCAGAGAAAUUUGGAUUAAUACCCCAUAAUAUAUUUGAUAAGGCAUCUUAUUAAUAUUAAAGCUUCGGCACUUGAUGAUGGGUGUGCGGCUGAUUAGAUAGUUGGCGGGGUAACGGCCCACCAAGUCUACGAUCAGUAGCUGAUGUGAGAGCAUGAUCAGCCACACGGGCACUGAGACACGGGCCCGACUCCUACGGGAGGCAGCAGUAAGGAAUAUUGGACAAAUGGACGAAAGUACUGAUCCAGCCAUGCCGCCGUGAAGGAUUAAGGUACCUCUCGGAUUGUAAACUU